GGCGAGAGUGGAGGCCCGCCCGCGUGGAGCACGAGGGAGCGACGUCCUCGUCGUGUGCUCUGGAAACGCCCUUCUCAGGGCGGCCAACAGCUCCCACCAGCUGUAGUGUAGGCAUGGCAUGGCGACAAAUUUCAUCGCCAUGCCAUAAUUGUUGUAUUUAAUGGCAUCAUUCAUUUUCUCCAUGUUAUUUACAAGUAUGAUCACAAGCUAAACAUUUACACAAUAUCAUAACUCUAGGCGUAAUAAACUGCUUUCAUGGAUAUAAUAAAAUAAUCCUCGUUUCGAUAGUAGAUUAUGAUGGUCUGUGUGCAUUAAAAGGAAACCCAGUUUUGCAUAAGAAACACGUAUGUAUGUACUCACGUUUUAAUGCCCAGACAGUCCCUUCGGAAGUGUAAUUCAAUACCUUAAUAAUGCUCAGACGUUCCAGGUAAAGUGUAAUCAAACAUGUUACUUGUCCCAGUUUGCUACCACAACUCACUGUCAGUUUCAACCCUCACUGACUUGUAGUUAGUUGUAUUCCAACAAUAUGGAAGAAAACUUAACCUUAAGCAAUUGCCCUGGUCUUGAAGCUUUGGAUUUUCGUCCACAUCAUCCCUGUUUCAACUUAUCUGACACCAAGCCCUUUGAUGAAGAAUGGCCGUGUGAAAUUCGUCUGUUUUGGCUACAAAGUUUGUACCAGACUUUUAAUUGUACCUUGGUCAACUCAGAAUUUAGAAUGCAUCCACCUCGAGUCGUACACUGUUUCUAGAUCAAGAUGCCAAUGCCAAACAUAAAUAAAUAAAUGAAUAAAAAUAUUUUACAGCA